AAUAGAUACCCCGGUAGUCCACGCCGUAAACGAUGGAUGCUAGCUAUUGGGGGAAUCGACCCCCUCCGAAGCGAAGCUAACGCGUUAAGCAUCCCGCCUGAGUAGUACGAGCGCAAGCUUAAAACUCAAAGGAAUUGACGGGGACCCGCACAAGCGGUGGAGCGUGUGGUUUAAUUCGAUGGUAAACGAAGAACCUUACCAAGGUUUGACAUCCCGGUAGCCGUUCUCCGAAAGGAGAAUUUCAUUUAGUUGGACCGGUGACAGGUGAUGCAUGGCCGUCGUCAGCUCGUGUCGUGAGAUGUUGGGUUAAGUCCCGCAACGAGCGCAACCCUUAUGAUUUAGUUGGAUUUUUCUAAACAGACUGCCCUGGUAACAGGGAGGAAGGAGGGGAUGAUGUCAGGUCAGUAUUUCCCUUACACCUUGGGCGACACACGCGCUACAAUGGCCGGUACAAUGGGCAGCUAAGCCGCGAGGUGAAGCAAAUCCCAUCAAAGCCGGUCCCAGUUCGGAUUGCAGGCUGAAACCCGCCUGCAUGAAGCCGGAAUCGCUAGUAACC
rnacentral:rRNA from 1 species